rnacentral:rRNA from 1 species
CCUACGGGAGGCUCCUGUGGGGAAUAUUGGACAAUGGGCGAAAGCCUGAUCCAGCCAUGCCGCGUGUGUGAAGAAGGUCUUCGGAUUGUAAAGCACUUUAAGUUGGGAGGAAGGGCAGUAACCUAAUACGUUAUUGUUUUGACGUUACCGACAGAAUAAGCACCGGCUAACUCUGUGCCAGCAGCCGCGGUAAUACAGAGGGUGCAAGCGUUAAUCGGAAUUACUGGGCGUAAAGCGCGCGUAGGUGGUUUGUUAAGUUGGAUGUGAAAGCCCCGGGCUCAACCUGGGAACUGCAUCCAAAACUGGCAAGCUAGAGUAUGGUAGAGGGUGGUGGAAUUUCCUGUGUAGCGGUGAAAUGCGUAGAUAUAGGAAGGAACACCAGUGGCGAAGGCGACCACCUGGACUGAUACUGACACUGAGGUGCGAAAGCGUGGGGAGCAAACA